rnacentral:rRNA from 1 species
GCAUAUCAAUAAGCGGAGGAAAAGAAACCAACAGGGAUUGCCCUAGUAACGGCGAGUGAAGCGGCAACAGCUCAAAUUUGAAAUCUGGCUCUUUCAGAGUCCGAGUUGUAAUUUGCAGAGGGCGCUUUGGCUUUGGCAGCGGUCCAAGUUCCUUGGAACAGGACGUCACAGAGGGUGAGAAUCCCGUACGUGGUCGCUGGCUAUUGCCGUGUAAAGCCCCUUCGACGAGUCGAGUUGUUUGGGAAUGCAGCUCUAAAUGGGAGGUACAUUUCUUCUAAAGCUAAAUAUUGGCCAGAGACCGAUAGCGCACAAGUAGAGUGAUCGAAAGAUGAAAAGCACUUUGGAAAGAGAGUCAAACAGCACGUGAAAUUGUUGAAAGGGAAGCGCUUGCAGCCAGACUUGCUUGCAGUUGCUCAUCCGGGCUUUUGCCCGGUGCACUCUUCUGCAGGCAGGCCAGCAUCAGUUUGGGCGGUAGGAUAAAGGUCUCUGUCACGUACCUCUCUUCGGGGAGGCCUUAUAGGGGAGGCGACAUACUACCAGCCUGGACUGAGGUCCGCGCAUCUGCUAGGAUGCUGGCGUAAUGGCUGUAAGCGGCCCGUCUUGAAACACGGACCAAGGAGUCUAACAUCUAUGCGAGUGUUUGGGUGUCAAGCCCGAGCGCGUAAUGAAAGUGAACGGAGGUAGGAACCCGCAAGGGUGCACUAUCGACCGAUCCUGAUGUCUUCGGAAGGAUUUGAGUAAGAGCAUGGCUGUUGGGACCCGAAAGAUGGUGAACUAUGCUUGAAUAGGGUGAAGCCAGAGGAAACUCUGGUGGAGGCUCGCAGCGGUUCUGACGUGCAAAUCGAUCGUCAAAUUUGGGGCAUAGGGGCGAAAGACUAAUCGAACUAUCUAGUAGCUGGUUCCUGCCGAG